CCCUUAGAUGUUCUGGGCCGCACACGCGCUACACUGAAGGAGGCAGCGUGUACUCCUGGAUCGAAAGAUUUGGGUAACCCGCGAAUCUCCUUCGUGCUAGGGAUUGAGGUUUGCAAUUAUCCUUCAUGAACGAGGAAUUCCCAGUAAGUGCAAGUCAUAAGCUUGCGCUGACUACGUCCCUGCCCUUUGUACACACCGCCCGUCGCUACUACCGAUUGAAUGAUUUAGUGAGGACUUCGGACUGGGACCGAUGCGGCUUUCGGGCUGCGUCGGUAUUCUGGAAAGAUGUCCAAACUGUAGCAUUUAGAGGAAGUAAAAGUCGUAACA
rnacentral:rRNA from 1 species